AUUGAACGCUGGCGGCAGGCCUAACACAUGCAAGUCGAACGAGUGGCGGACGGGUGAGUAAUGUCUGGGAAACUGCCUGAUGGAGGGGGAUAACUACUGGAAACGGUAGCUAAUACCGCAUACCAUCAGAUGUGCCCAGAUGGGAUUAGCUAGUUGGUUGGGUAACGGCUUACCAAGGCGACGAUCCCUAGCUGGUCUGCGAGGAUGACAAGCCACACUGGAACUGAGACACGGUCCAGACUCCUACGGGAGGCAGCAGUGGGGAAUCUUCCACAAUGGGCGCAAGCCUGAUGCAGCCAUGCCGCGUGUAUGAAGAAGGCCUUCGGGUUGUAAAGUACUUUCAUCAGGGAGGCGUUACCCGCAGAAGAAGCCCCGGCUAACUCCGUGCCAGCCGCCGCGGUAAUUC
rnacentral:rRNA from 1 species